ACCUCUAUGGUGUAGUGGUAGUAGCACAAGCGUCCUCGGUAUGGAUGGAACGCGGGUUCGAUUCCCGCUUGAGGCA